CCAUCCAUUGCAUGGACUGGGCCCAAGGAAUCACCCGAUGUUACUUUGUCCUUGAAGAUGAAUUAGCUUCUAUUGAAAUGGUCUUCACCUAUAGAAUCCAUCCAUUGCAUGGACUGGGCCCAAGGAAUCACCCGAUGUUACUUUGUCCUUGAAGAUUAAUUAGCUUCUAUUGAUAUGGUCUUCACCUAUAGGAUCCACCCAUUGCAUGGACUGGGCCCAAGG